GUCGUGAGAUGUGGGUUAAGUCCCGCAACGAGCGCAACCCUAUUGUUAGUUGCCAUCAUUCAGUUGGGCACUCUAGCGAGACUGCCGGUAAUAAACCGGAGGAAGGUGGGGAUGACGUCAAAUCAUCAUGCCCUUAUGACCUGGGCUACACACGUGCUACAAUGGUUGGUACAACGAGUUGCGAGUCGGUGACGGCGAGCUAAUCUCUUAAAGCCAAUCUCAGUUCGGAUUGUAGGCUGCAACUCGCCUACAUGAAGUCGGAAUCGCUAGUAAUCGCGGAUCAGCACGCCGCGGUGAAUACGUUCCCGGGCCUU
rnacentral:rRNA from 1 species